rnacentral:rRNA from 3 species
CGGCGAGUGAAGCGGCAAUAGCUCAAAUUUGAAAGCUGGCGCGCGUCCGCGUUGUAAUUUGUAGAGGAUGCUUCGGCGAGGACUCCUGCCUAAGUUCCCUGGAAUGGGACGUCACAGAGGGUGAGAAUCCCGUAUGUGGCGGGCGGUCCAAGCCAUGUGAAGCUCCUUCGACGAGUCGAGUUGUUUGGGAAUGCAGCUCUAAAUGGGAGGUAAAUUUCUUCUAAAGCUAAAUACCGGCCAGAGACCGAUAGCGCACAAGUAGAGUGAUCGAAAGAUGAAAAGCACUUUGGAAAGAGAGUUAAAAAGUACGUGAAAUUGUUGAAAGGGAAGCGCUUGCAACCAGACUCGCUCGCAGUUGCUCAGCCCGCCUCCUGGCGGGUGUACUCUUCUGCGAUCGGGCCAGCAUCAGUUCGGGCGGCCGGAUAAAGGUGUCGGGAAUGUAGCACCCUUCGGGGUGUGUUAUAGCCCGGCGCGGAAUGCGGCCAGCCUGGACUGAGGAUCUCGCUUCGGCAAGGAUGCUGGCGUAAUGGUUGUAAGCGGCCCGUCU